GGAUGAGAGGGUGAUCUGACAGGAACAGCUGUCAUCCGUCAUCCCAUUGACCUUCAGGGUUAAUUCACCUGAUCUGGCUGGCUGACUAAGGGUCAUCUCCACUCGCCCUCACUACCCCAUGGGCAUCCCUUUUGAAACUGCUUGAAUGAUAAUUUAAAAAAAGAGCCCUUCUUUCAUCAGGAAUGGCUAUUCAUUCUUUCAACAAAUAUGUAUUGAGCUUCUAGAUAUCAAACAUUGUCUAGUAUAUGCUGGUGAACAAGACAAAUUAAACUUCUAUGCUCAGGGUAAGGAUGCAGAGAA
rnacentral:sRNA from 1 species